UAUUAAAAAUUUUAUCCAUUUAUACUGUUAAAAACUAGUGUAGCUAACGAAAUAACCAGACAUUGACACGUGAAUGCCACAUGCACCUCAUGUUGACGUAUAGGGACCAAUUUUUAACAGCAAAAAUAGAUAAAAUUUUUAACA
rfam:Gossypium raimondii Chr11_contig_727, whole genome shotgun sequence.